rnacentral:lncRNA from 1 species
AAACAGUUUGUGAACUCUGUUUAAUGAGAUACAAGUCUCUUUUAUGCUGUAAGCUUUAGACUUCCCUUGCUUUGGGACUUGGUUGGGUUAGUGACUGUGAAACAGGAAGUUCUAUGAGCACGGAGUGAGGACUGUCCACUUGUCAUGUUUAAAGAAUCACAAUCUGAUGCAAACAAAAGAAGGGCACUUGGGCCAAUCCACAGGAAAUGUCAUCUCCUGUCUGCCAGUUUUAAAUUUCAUUCCAAGGAAGGGCUGCCAUUAUAGAGGUAAGCCAAUAGCCACUAAUCGCCAUACACCAGGACUUUGAAUUGAGCCUGGGAAUUUGUGUGCAAGCGUGAAUCUUCCCAGAAAUUAACCCAGUGACAAGGUUGCGAGUUAGAGAUGGCAUUUCCCAUCUCGUCCCAGAAGCAGUUAUGUCAGGGGAAGCCGAGUUCUGCCUGCUGCCGUUUGUCUUUUGUUUUGUUUUGUCCAACAGUGGACUAUCAUCUAAGUUAAACGACCUAACCUUUAAGUAAGGUUAUAUAUCUGUUUCCUGCCUCCUGCC